rnacentral:lncRNA from 1 species
GGUUGAUGUGAACACCUUUGUCGGACAUCCAUGGAUUUUUCGGGAUACAAAUACGGGUGACAAAUUAGUAGUCCAGUUGAAGGAGGUAUAUGAACCAGUGGCUCACUGCUACCAACGUGAUGGCACUUCUCGCAGAGUUGUUAACAUUGUAAUACCAGGUAUAUGUUCUGUUUUAUCUUUUAUCUUGUUUUGGUCAUUAGACUGCAGCCAUGAAGGGGCAUCGCCUUGAAAAAUUUUUAAUCGAAAGAAUCGACCCUUCUACGUUUUUUUAAAGCCAUGUCCUUAUUCUGUCACCAACACCAGCUGUCAAGCAGUGACAGGGGACAAACAAAGGCACAUGCAUAAAUAUAUAUAUAUAUAUAUAUGCACACACACACAAUGUGCUUCUUUCAGUUUCUGUUUACCAAAUUCUUCUACUAUAGCCCCAGGCUAUAGCAGAAGAAUUGUUAUAUAUUGUUAUCUGUGGAGUCAUAUUUUGUAGGAAAAAGAAAUAACGGUCUUUUGGCUGCUAUUUCUAAAUUUUCGGUAUGUGGUGAAGCAACUUGUUGCUAAAUCCUUAAAUAUUGUUAUAAGUAUAUAUAACAUCAUCGUUUAACGUCCGUUUUCCAUGCUAGCAUGGGUUGGACGGUUCGACCGGGGCCUGGGAAGCCAGGAGGCUGCACCAGGCUCCAGUCUGAUCUGGCAGUGUUUCUACAGCUGUAUGCCCUUACUAACACCAAUCACUCUAUACCUAUUUCUUUACUACCCACAAGGGGUUAAACACAGAGGGGAUAAACAAGGACAGACAAACAGAUUAAGUCGAUUACAUCGACCCCAGUGCGUAACUGGUACUUAAUUUAUCGACCCCGAAAGGAUGAAAGGUAAAGUCGACCUCGGCGGAAUUUGAACUCAGAACGUAGAGACAGACGAAAUACUGCUAAGCAUUUCGUCUGGUGUGCUAACGUUUCUGCCAGCUCGCCACCAGCACAGGUGCCAGGGGGUUCUGCAACAGCUAUGAAAGGUUGGUGCUUUUUACGUGCCACCGGCACAGAAGCCAGUCAAGCCGGCGCUGGCAUCAGCCACAUUCGGAUGGUGUUUUUUACAUGCUACUGGCACAGGCAUCACAACUACAAUUUCCAUUUGAUUUUUUGAUGUUGAUGUACUUGACUCAAUAUGUCAUCUCAAGCACAUAUAUAUAUAUAUAUAUCAGCUGUAUGUAUUUCUAACACUACAUUUUUCCAGUGUAUCCUUUCCUAAUUAUUUAACAUGGCAAGAUGUGAUUUGAGGGGAAUUUACUUCCUGUAUCUAGCAGGUGGAACACUUGGGCUAAAGUCUUACCUUGUUGGCAUGAAGUAAAAGCUGUUGCUGUUCUGUGUUCUUAAAUCGGUCAUUGAACAAAAUUCUGAUAAAAUACAUUCAAAUCAUUAGCAUCUGGUCAUUCGUAUAUCAUGAACUCUGCUGUCCAAUAUUGCCUUCAUUUAAACCACCGUGAAAGCUUUGGCUUGUUUUCAACAGGUUAAACAGUGUUGGCCGGUUGAAAUAACAGACACGUUAGUUCAUUACUGCAGUUAAGCAGCCACCUUUAGAGAUGGUGUGAGAUUUACUUAGUUAUAAAGAGUGAUUGAAUGCAAUGUUGUUUUGGUUGUGUAGAUACAUAUCACCUUGGUAGGCAAGGUAGGCAGUGCCUACCCUGAAUGUAAUAGAUCAUUAGUAACAUUUUCCUUUUAUGGCAAAAUAGGCACCUAAUUUAAUAAAAUUAUGAAGGUUACUCUGACUAUUAUGAAUAAAAUGCAAAAUAUUUUAUUUUUUAUAGAUUAGGUGGCAUAAUUCGCCCCUGCUUUUCAGUCUCAGUAUUAAAACUAUGCAUAGUACUGCUGUAGUACACAUGCUGUGUACAUUCCUACAACGUUUUCUUUACAUGCUAUAAAGGCAGAAGUAAAUCUGCCUCCAGCUCAGUCACAUGCCUGUGUUUUGCAUUUUUUUGUGUGUGUGUUUUACUACAUAAACAUCACCAACUGCCUACCCUGAGUAAUUUACUUAUGGAACAUGCCUGAUAUCAACAUUUUAACAUCAUUUACUAUCAUUUUCAUUUUACAUCAGUUGUCAAGCGAUGUUGGGGAGACAAACACAGAUACACAUACAUAUACACACAUAUAUAUGUACAUAUAUACGACGGGCUUCUUUCAGUUUCUGUCUAGCAAAUCCACUCACAAGGCUUUGGUCGGCCCGAGGCUAUAGUAGAAGACACUUGCCCAAGGUGCCACGCAGUUGGGAAUGAACCUAGAACCAUGUGGCUGGUAAGCAAGCUACUUACCACACAGCCACUCCUGUGCCUAUGUAUAAAAUAAUUAUCAUUUAGUCUAAUCAAAUCCUUUUCAUUCCCCCUCACCACUUGCCAAAAGUAUUGUGAGCUUACAUUUUUUUUAGAAAUCACAGUUAUUAGUAUUAGCACUGAGGUAGUGAAUGUUAGAAACCAAGUAGUGUGUUGCAGCCAAAUAACUUGCAGUAUUUAGUUAUGUCCCUUUACAUUGUCAUUUGAAAUUCUUUUGCUGAUAAGCUUUGCUUUUCAUCUUUCAGAAGUUUAUAAAAUAAAUGUCUAUUAUGGACGUGUGUCAUUACAAAUGACUGAUUACUUCCAGGAAGUUUGUGGCCUUGUGUCAGUGUUAGAAGAAAAAAAAAAAAAAUAAUAAUAAUAAUAAUAAUAAUCAUCGUUUAGCGUCCACUUUCCAUGCUAGCAUGGGUUGGCCGGUUCAACUGGCGUCUGGGAAGCCAGAAGGCUGCACCAGGCCCAGUCUGAUCUGGCAAUGUUUCUAUGGCUGGAUGCAACAUUUCACCUGUAUUAGCACCUGUGGUAUUCAAGUAUAUAAAAAGGCGGCGAGCUGGCAGAAACGUUAGCACACCGGGCGAAAUGCUUUGCGGUUUUUCGUCUGCUGUUACAUUCUGAGUUCAAAUUCCGCCGAGGUCGACUUUGCCUUUCAUCCUUUCGGGGUCGAUAAAUUAAAGUACCAGUUAUGCACUGGGGUCGAUGUAAUCGACUUAAUACCUAUGUCUGUCCUUGUUUGUCCUCUCUAUUUUUAGCCCCUUGUGGGUAAUAAAGAAAUAGGUAUUCAAGUAUAUUUGAUUAAUAUUUUUUUUCUCUCUCUCUCUCCCUUUCAGUUUACAACCUAAAAGAAUGCUGCCUGCAAAAAUUAAGGGCCAUCAUUCCAUGUAAUCAAAUUGAUGAUUUGGAACUACCAAAAAGCCUAAUAGGAGAACUGAAAAAGUAUUUUCACAAGAGCUCAUAUCUUGGCAAACCUGUUUCCGUAUCUAAGAGUUGAGGUAUACCAGUACAACAGUAUGGUUGGUUUGUGAUAAAACCUUGCUAAUUGUGUAUAUGCACAUUUCUAGACAUGGAUCAAUAAGUUCAUUUUGUCUAUCGUGUAUGUGUGCGUGCAUGUGCUUAUAUGUAUAUAUGUACACCUCCUCAACUUCAACCUAUGCAACUUACGACCAUCUGCACUUAUGACCACGAAAAAUAAGGAAAUGAAAAAAUCAAUUAAUUAAUAAAAAAUCAAUUUUUGGACAUUGGGCGGCUGUGCAUACUAUAAACUAUGACAGCAUCUGGCAACACUGGACUCCCUCAGACCUUGACAUCCACUGACCGCGGCUGUGUCUCACUCAGUUGCUUUCAAGCAUCAAGUUGCGUUUGAAUGAAAAUGAUGUUGAUAAAAUAUAAAUCCGACAUACAUCCAGAUCAACUUACGACCUGUCACUUGGAACAGAACUCGGUCAUACGCCGAGGAGGUGUAUAUGAAAUGUGUGUGUACAUAUGGUUGACAGUCUGAACAAAAAUCAAACACUCAGUAUAAUGUAGAGUAUGAAAUAUCUGAGGAAAUAGACAGAGGUUAACUGUUCAUUGACUGACUAUGAGUUUCACAACAAAUUUAUGGCCAUAGAGCAGAAGCCCUACCUACUAACACAAACUAAUAAUCUUGUUCUUGUUGGUAAAAACAUAAUGGUACUGAGGAACAGAAAUACUAUGAUUAUGAAUAACAAUAUUUCUUCCAGUGAAGUUAAGAGUCUGUUGAUGAACAAACAGUUUGUAUGUAUAUCUAUUAUGUGCGUAAGUGGAGAGAGAAAGAAAUUAUUAUAUAGACAUAUGCAUACAAACAUAUGUUUAUAUAUUUAUAUUUGUAUAUAUAUAUAUAUAUAUAUUACAUGUAUGUGUAAUAUAUAUAGAUUCAGAUGAAUAUGGUACCUAAGUUGAGGCACCAGAAUUUCGUACAGUAUUACUCUGCAUUUAAAUUGAUGUAAUGAUUGCAUUGUUCAAUUAAAUGGAGUUGCAUGAAACGAUUGUACCGCAUUACCUCUGGAUAUCCUUAUUGCUUAUUUUGAUUUUAUAUAUAUAAUAUUAUAUAUAUAUAUAUAUAUAUAUAUAUAUAUAUAUGUGUGUGUGUGUGUGUGUGUGUGUGUGUGUGUGUGUAUAUAUAUAUAUAUAUAUAUAUAUGCACACACACUUAUAUGUAUAAAUACAUACCAGAACAAUUAUACUCAAAAAUAUAUAUUUAUAUUUCUCAUGCUCUUUAUAUAUAUAUAUAUAUAUAUGUGUGUAAUACACACUGAACAUCUUAUAUAUUGAAAUAAACAAUUUAUCUCUAUGUUUUAUGGAACACAAAUUU